UACGGAGGGUGCGAGCGUUGUCCGGAAUCACUGGGCGUAAAGGGCGCGUAGGCGGCCUGAUAAGUAGGGGGUGAAAUCCUGCGGCUUAACCGCAGGGCUGCCUUCUAAACUGUCAGGCUCGAGCACAGUAGAGGCAGGUGGAAUUCCCGGUGUAGCGGUGGAAUGCGUAGAGAUCGAGAGGAACACCUGCGGCGAAGGCGGGUUGCUGGGCUGACACUGACGCUGAGGCGCGAAAGCUAGGGGAGCGAACGGG
rnacentral:rRNA from 1 species